GAUGAAGAACGUAGCGAAAUGCGAUAAGUAGUGUGAAUUGCAGAAUUAAGUGAAUCAUCGAAUCUUUGAACGCACAUUGCGCCCUUUGGUAUUCCAAAGGGCAUGCCUGUUCGAGCGUCAUUUGUACCCUCAAGCUUUGCUUGGUGUUGGGCGUCUUGUCUCUAGCUUUGCUGGAGACUCGCCUUAAAGUAAUUGGCAGCCGGCCUACUGGUUUCGGAGCGCAGCACAAGUCGCACUCUCUAUCAGCAAAGGUCUAGCAUCCAUUAAGCCUUUUUUUCAACUUUUGACCUCGGAUCAGGUAGGGAUACCCGCUGAACUUAAGCAUAUCAAUAAGCGGAGGA
rnacentral:misc_RNA from 1 species